rnacentral:rRNA from 1 species
GAUGAACGCUAGCGGCAGGCCUAAUACAUGCAAGUCGGACGGGAUUGGAGAGCUUGCUUUCCAUGAGAGUGGCGCACGGGUGCGUAACACGUAUGUAACCUACCUUGUUCAGGGGGAUAGCCUCUCGAAAGAGAGAUUAAGACCGCAUAACAUCAUUGACUGGCAUCUGUUAAAUGAUCAAAUAUUUAUAGGAACAAGAUGGGCAUGCGGAACAUUAGCUAGUUGGUAAGGUAAAGGCUUACCAAGGCUACGA